rnacentral:rRNA from 1 species
AGUGAACGCUGGCGGUAGGCCUAACACAUGCAAGUCGAACGGCAGCACAGUAAGAGCUUGCUCUUACGGGUGGCGAGUGGCGGACGGGUGAGGAAUACAUCGGAAUCUACUUUUUCGUGGGGGAUAACGUAGGGAAACUUACGCUAAUACCGCAUACGACCUACGGGUGAAAGCAGGGGAUCUUCGGACCUUGCGCGAUUGAUUGAGCCGAUGUCGGAUUAGCUAGUUGGCGGGGUAAAGGCCCACCAAGGCGACGAUCCGUAGCUGGUCUGAGAGGAUGAUCAGCCACACUGGAACUGAGACACGGUCCAGACUCCUACGGGAGGCAGCAGUGGGGAAUAUUGGACAAUGGGCGAAAGCCUGAUCCAGCCAUACCGCGUGGGUGAAGAAGGCCUUCGGGUUGUAAAGCCCUUUUGUUGGGAAAGAAAAGCAGCAGGUUAAUACCCCGCUGUUCUGACGGUACCCAAAGAAUAAGCACCGGCUAACUUCGUG